GCUGAAAACAAGCACCAGCUCCCCCGUGACCCUGUACGGAAGAAACACGGAUCCAGUUUUGGGAUCGACAAGGACUUUUUCUGGCAUGCGUCCCGAACAACCAGGGGGCCUUUACAGUGGCUCUCAAAAGUGCACACACCCUGUUACAAUACAACCUCUUUGUCAUGUCAAAACAUGA